rfam:Phytophthora infestans T30-4 supercont1.30 genomic scaffold, whole genome shotgun sequence.
GCCCUGUAAACUUAGUGGUCGAGUGUUGGCUUUGGAAGCCACAGGUCGGUGUUCAAUUCCACCCGGGCGCA